AUAGACCUAUUUAAAGGUGAUGCUGAUGACAAUUUGCCAGGUGAAUAUUAUAAUUAAAUAACCUGCUUUUUGCAAUCUAGUUAUUUUACACAAUUCUUUUUCAACUAAAUAAUUCAAUCUAUCUGAGAUUGAAGAGACACCGUCCUAUCCAUUUUAAAAAACCUCUCUCCAAUUUCUCAUCCUGAAGACCCACAGGGAAUCUCUUCACCAGUGACCAACUUCCAUUUUCCACACACUUGGCAAAACACCUGACGCUGACAGGAUCCUGACAGGACGCAGAAGGGCCCCGCCUGCCCAAACUGCCCUUUGACCCCUGAGAGAAACCCACUGAACUGGACAUUUAUUCCUCUCUGGAAGCAGGAAUUUGGAAACGAUGUCCAUGCAGCAUCUACCAUCUACACACAUAGUUCAAUUCUAAUAUCCUCUGUACAGGAUGGCACAUGUGUCUGGAAAGAGAUGGAUGGACAUAGACCUAGAUGGAGAGGUGGAUGGAUGAUCGAUGGAUCGAUGAACAGGUGCAGACAGAAAGAAGGAAAGACCGAUGAAGACAGAUCCAGACAGACAGAAAGGCAGGCAGGCAGACAAAAUAACAGAUGGCAGGUCGGACAGAAUGACAGUGGGACAGACAGAAUGACAGACAGGGUACAACUUUCUGGAUAGGGGAAAGGAAGUGAUUUAUUUGGAAAUAAAGAUGAUGUAAAAGAUACCAAGAAAAUAAACACUAAAAAGUGGACUCUUUCUACAGGAAAAUGAAAGCGACCUUCCAGAGAAGCAUUUUAGAGUGAGAACAACACGGAAGAAUGUCUAAAAUGAGCACAUUCCCUAUGUAACAUCCAAGUCCAGCAAGAACCGUCACAGUCAUGUUGUCUCCAUUGUUUGCUCAAAAUUCAGGAUUUGCAGAGAUGCCCUCUUCCAUUGAUUUCAAAAGAAUGUCAUCACCCUCACUGAACCGAAGAGGAGACAUUUGCUGCUAUGAUCAGAAUCUAAUUUUUUUUUGUAAAACUAAAUAUGGUUUAUUUAAUUAUAAUAAUAGCUAACAUUGAUAUAGCAUUUGAGGGCAGCCUGGAGGCCUAGUGGAUAGAUUUCCAGGCUUAAAGCCUGGAAAACUCAUUGAUCUGAAUUUCAAUCCAGUCUUAGACACUUUCUAGCCAUGUGAUUCUGGGCAAGUUAACUUCAGUUGCUUAGCCCUUACCACUCUUCUGCCUUGCAAUCAAUACUCAGGAACUUGGAAAAAUGCUAGUCAAUUCUAAGAUAGAAAGUAAGGAGUUAUUUAAAAAAGAAAGAGAAAGGAAAAGAGAAAGAAAAAG